rnacentral:rRNA from 1 species
GAUGAACGCUGGCGGCGUGCCUAAUACAUGCCAGUCGAGCGAACGGACGAGAAGCUUGCUUCUCUGAUGUUAGCGGCGGACGGGUGAGUAACACGUGGAUAACCUACCUAUAAGACUGGGAUAACUUCGGGAAACCGGAGCUAAUACCGGAUGAUAUUUUGAACCGCAUGGUUCAAAAGUGAAAGACGGUCUUGCUGUCACUUAUAGAUGGAUCCGCGCUGCAUUAGCUAGUUGGUAAGGUAACGGCUUACCAAGGCAACGAUGCAUAGCCGACCUGAGAGGGUGAUCGGCCACACUGGAACUGAGACACGGUCCAGACUCCUACGGGAGGCAGCAGUAGGGAAUCUUCCGCAAUGGGCGAAAGCCUGCCGGAGCAACGCCGCGUGAGUGAUGAAGGUCUUCGGAUCGUAAAACUCUGUUAUUAGGGAAGAACAUAUGUGUAAGUAACUGUGCACAUCUUGACGGUACCUAAUCAGAAAGCCACGGCUAACUACGUG